UCUGAGAGCUGGACUUACUUCUUAUUGAUAGUUAUCCUCACUUCUAUGCAGCCCAUGUGCCAAAAGAAAGCUGACAUCAUUCCUAACUGCAGGUGGACCUGAAAUCCAGCCCACACUCUGCUCACCACCCUGUGGGCCUUGUCCCAGGACUCAUCCCUUCUCUUCUGGAGCCAUUUCCAAUUCUGCCCAAAAGGACAGCCUGAAGUGCUGGACCCUGGGUACCUGGCUGAAGACUUUGGACUUUAACCUGGAGAUGAUGGAGAGUAUGCAGGAUAAAGUCCAUACCAAAUCCAACGCCUAGCAAAUGGAGAACAAGCCAAAACUAACAAGAUAAAAUGUAGCAGGAAAAAGUGCAAAGAGCUGAAGUGUGGAAUAAGUGGGAGAGGUCUGCCAUGCCCUAUCUGACCUUGCUGCCAUGAUCUUUAAGGCUGUGUGUCCUGGUUGGUGCAGCUACAAGAUGGCAGAAAUGCCUAAGUGAUGGUAUGGAACAGAGGAUCCCUCUUCUCACCAUUGUCUUGCAUGUUUCCUUGUGUGAACCACAAAUAAACUUUUGUUAUGUUAAGCUGCUGAGA
rnacentral:lncRNA from 10 species